CCAUGCAAGUCGAGCGAACUGAUUAGAAGCUUGCUUCUAUGACGUUAGCGGCGGACGGGUGAGUAACACGUGGGCAACCUGCCUGUAAGACUGGGAUAACUUCGGGAAACCGAAGCUAAUACCGGAUAGGAUCUUCUCCUUCAUGGGAGAUGAUUGAAAGAUGGUUUCGGCUAUCACUUACAGAUGGGCCCGCGGUGCAUUAGCUAGUUGGUGAGGUAACGGCUCACCAAGGCAACGAUGCAUAGCCGACCUGAGAGGGUGAUCGGCCACACUGGGACUGAGACACGGCCCAGACUCCUACGGGAGGCAGCAGUAGGGAAUCUUCCGCAAUGGACGAAAGUCUGACGGAGCAACGCCGCGUGAGUGAUGAAGGCUUUCGGGUCGUAAAACUCUGUUGUUAGGGAAGAACAAGUACGAGAGUAACUGCUCGUACCUGAC
rnacentral:rRNA from 2 species